UACGGAGGGGGCUAGCGUUGUCCGAGGUUACUGGGCGUAAAGCGCGCGUAGGCGGGUUGGUAAGUCCGCUGUGAAAGCCCGGAGCUCAACUCCGGAGGGUCGGUGGAUACUGCCAGUCUUGAAGGUGCUAGGGGGAGAUGGAAUUACCGGUGUAGCGGUGAAAUGCGUAGAUAUCGGUAGGAACACCAGUGGCGAAGGCGGUCUCCUGGGGCAUUCUUGACGCUGAGGCGCGAAAGCUGGGGGAGCAAACGGG
rnacentral:rRNA from 1 species